GUCAACAACACUCGACAACGACGUUUUGAUCUGGCCGUAGUCUUUGGUGGUGCGGAGUAGGGUUUAUGACGGCAAGAUUGUUGCAAUCUUUGGUGGCGGCGACCAUGGUUUGUGACGGAGAUCGACGACGUCUGUUAGAUUGGAUGCUGCCAUAGCUCUGCCAAUGACAGUGGUCAAGCGGUUAGGGUUUCGAUCAACUUUUGGUAACGUCCGUAGAGGCUCCAGCGAAGAUUCCAGUGAGGUGAACAGGCCAGGGAAGAUUCCGGUUAACGGGUGCAUAAACAUGAGCUAUGAUGUAUAUGGCUAAAAAGAGAAGAGACGGUCUACAAGGUUACAAUGGUGUAAGGACCAAAAACGACGGAGCCCACGAUGCUUUGUACCGAAGCGAAAACCCCGACAAACAAGAAACAACACCACCAGACAACGUUCUCGAGGACGACAUGCUGGCGCUUUUACUCAAACAAUCCUCAGGAUUCAAGGACGUCAGAAUGAUCCAUGCAAAACUGGGUAUCGCUUUUAUCGAGUUUGAUGAGAAAAAAAAUAACUUUCGAGUUUGAUGAGAAAAAAUAACUUUCUAUUGCAAUGCAAUCCCAGCAAGGCUCAAGAUCACCCCUCAAAAAUGUUAUUUACAAAAAAAAUUGAUGAAAAUAGUACUAUGUGUAGUGAUAAAGAUCCAUAAUGAUGUUUUUUGUGAAU
rnacentral:lncRNA from 1 species